rnacentral:lncRNA from 1 species
GGGAGUGAAAUGUUAGACUUUAGGGUUUUCUGAGGUUAUUUAAGCGAGAUAAUACGGCGCCGUUUAGAGGCCUGCAACCCGCGUGUGUGACCUGACCUGGGGAGGAUCCGCGCAUUUUUGUUGUAUGGUCUAUUUGCGCCCCUGAUCCCACUAUUUUUUUGUUUUUUAAUUUCAUUUUUUUGUUUUGCUAUAAAUUUCCCGAAAAUUUUGAAUUUGUUUCAAUUCAGUCUUGAUCUAAACGCAGCGUUUUGGAGGGCGGGGUUAUUUUCCGCUUUACUCCCUCCUUGUUCCUCGCGCGCCCAAUUCGGUCCCUUUUCAUUUUUAUUUAUUGCGGAUUGGCCCUAAAAUUUGUGCUUUCAUUUUAAUUUAGUCCUGAUUAAUAUUUUGUUGUUA